CCUACGGGUGGCAGCAGUGAGGAAUAUUGGUCAAUGGGCGCGAGCCUGAACCAGCCAAGUAGCGUGAAGGAUGACUGCCCUACGGGUUGUAAACUUCUUUUAUAAAGGAAUAAAGUGAGGCACGUGUGCCUUUUUGUAUGUACUUUAUGAAUAAGGAUCGGCUAACUCCGUGCCAGCAGCCGCGGUAAUACGGAGGAUCCGAGCGUUAUCCGGAUUUAUUGGGUUUAAAGGGAGCGUAGAUGGGUUGUUAAGUCGGUUGUGAAAGUUUGCGGCUCAACCGUAAAAUUGCAAGGGAUACUGGCAGCCGUGAGUGCAGUGGAGGUAGGCGGAAUUCGUGGUGUAGCGGUGAAAUGCUUAGAUAUCACGAAGAACUCCGAUUGCGAAGGCAGCCUACUAAACUGCCACUGACAUUGAGGCUCGAAGGUGUGGGUAUCAAACAGGAUUAGAUACCCUAGUAGUC
rnacentral:rRNA from 1 species